GACGAACGCUGGCGGCGUGCUUAACACAUGCAAGUCGAACGGAAAGGCCCUGCUUGCAGGGUGCUCGAGUGGCGAACGGGUGAGUAACACGUGGGUGAUCUGCCCCUUACUUUGGGAUAAGCCUGGGAAACUGGGUCUAAUACUGGAUAGGACCAUGCUGUAGGUGGUGUGGUGGAAAGAUUUUUUCGGUAAGGGAUGAGCUCGCGGCCUAUCAGCUUGUUGGUGGGGUAAUGGCCUACCAAGGCGUCGACGGGUAGCCGGCCUGAGAGGGUGGACGGCCACAUUGGGACUGAGAUACGGCCCAGACUCCUACGGGAGGCAGCAGUGGGGAAUAUUGCACAAUGGGCGCAAGCCUGAUGCAGCGACGCCGCGUGGGGGAUGACGGCCUUCGGGUUGUAAACUCCUUUCAGCCAUGACGAAGCCUCUUUUGGGGUGACGGUAGUGGUAGAAGAAGCACCGGCUAACUACGUG
rnacentral:rRNA from 1 species